GACGAACGCUGGCGGCGUGCUUAACACAUGCAAGUCGAACGGAAAGGCCCUGCUUUUGUGGGGUGCUCGAGUGGCGAACGGGUGAGUAACACGUGAGUAACCUGCCCUUGACUUUGGGAUAACUUCAGGAAACUGGGGCUAAUACCGGAUAGGAGCCCCUGCAGCAUGGUGGGGGUUGGAAAGUUUCGGCGGUCGUGGAUGGACUCGCGGCUUAUCAGCUUGUUGGUGGGGUAGUGGCUUACCCAGGAUUUGACUGGUAGCCGGCCUGAGAGGGUGACCGGCCACAUUGGGACUGAGAGACGGCGCAGACUCCUACGGGAGGCAGCAGUGGGGAAUAUUGCACAAUGGGCGGAAGCCUGAUGCAGCAACGCCGCGUGCGGGAUGACGGCCUUCGGGUUGUAAACCGCUUUCGCCUGUGACGAAGCGGGAGUGACGGUAAUGGGUAAAGAAGCACCGGCUAACUACGUG
rnacentral:rRNA from 1 species